rnacentral:pre_miRNA from 14 species
UUCUUCCACCCGUGCACAGGGCAGGAAACCUUUGAAAGACCCCCGAAGGGAGCCCCCCACUCAAGUCUCGGGAAAGGCGCGCACCCAGUAGGACACAGACACCA